rnacentral:rRNA from 1 species
GACGAACGCUGGCGGCGUGCUUAACACAUGCAAGUCGAACGGAAAGGCCCUGCUUUUGUGGGGUGCUCGAGUGGCGAACGGGUGAGUAACACGUGAGUAACCUGCCCUUGACUUUGGGAUAACUUCAGGAAACUGGGGCUAAUACCGGAUAGGAGCUCCUGCUGCAUGGUGGGGGUUGGAAAGUUUCGGCGGUUGGGGAUGGACUCGCGGCUUAUCAGUUUGUUGGUGGGGUAGUGGCUUACCAAGGCUUUGACGGGUAGCCGGCCUGAGAGGGUGACCGGCCACAUUGGGACUGAGAUACGGCCCAGACUCCUACGGUAGGCAGCAGUGGGGAAUAUUGCACAGUGGGCGGGAGCCUGAUGCAGCAACGCCGCGGGCGGGAUGACGGCCUUCGGGUUGUGAACCGCUUUCGCCUGUGACGAAGCGUGAGUGACGGUAAUGGGUAAAGAAGCACCGGCUAACUACGUG